AUGAACGGGGGCAUCGGGGGCACGGCGGAGGGGGCGCCGCACCCGAGCACGGACUGGGGCCCGAUCAUCGUGGCGGUGAUCCUCUUCGUGGUGCUGUCGCCGGGGCUGCUGUUCCAGCUGCCGGCCAGGACCAGGGUGGUGGAGCUCGGCAACAUGGCCACCAGCGCCAUCGCCAUCCUCGUCCACGCCGUCAUCUUCUUCUGCAUCCUCACCCUCGUCGUCGUCGCCAUCGGCGUGCACGUGUACGCCGCCUAG
rnacentral:rRNA from 1 species